rnacentral:lncRNA from 1 species
AAAUGGUAAAUUUAUUUAUCAACCGAUUUAACAGUAACCGAUUUAACACUGUUAAAUGUAUAACAUUUUUUUGUGUGGUGUUACAAUAUAACAAAGAAAAAAGAAAAGGAAAAAAAACUAAAAUGCUAACUAAUUAGUUUGUCUCUUAGAAUGAGAGACGUUAAGAGGACGAUUCCAGUGAGUUGAGCAGGCGGAGUAGGAAGCCUCCUUACCAUAAAGUCAACACAGAUGUUAUGAACUAAAUUUACAGUCUCAUGAUGCAAGGCAUCCGAGAUUUCUAGUAACACAGAGGCAUAUACAUGUAAACUUGUAUUUUUCAAGUUGUGAAUAUGAUUUACCGUUUCUAAACAAUCACUCUCACAAAUAAUGCUUGUAUAACCAAGAUCAUAUCAAGUAGCAAUCCCAAGUUAAAUAGCCGAAGUUCUGCCAAGAUUGCAUCACUGCCAUUUUUAAAGUGAGUGAACCCUGCUAUUCAACUACUAUCAUGGCCACGAACAACUCUACCAACUCCUAGACGGGAGAUGUCUUCAAGAAAGUUGUCUUCCACAUUAAUUUUGAUGAGACCCUUAUGAGGUGGUUUCCAACGCGAUAAGAUGUGAUCCAUAGAUGUAUCAUAGCUCGGAAGUUGGUAAAAAAAUCAUAAACUCGUCAUGCAACGCUCGAGUCUUUCUCGCCACUUCUUGAAUCUGCCAAAGGUGUUCUUCAAAAAUACUAAAUGUAUAACAUUUAGUUAAGCUGAAAGAAUAUUGUUUAUCUUUGAAUCAAUUGUUCUUUCAACUAUUUUUAAAUGGCAAC